UUUUUUUUUUUUUUUUUUUUUUUUGCCUUUUAUUGCCACAUCUGUGGCAUGGAAGGUCCCAGACUAGGGACCCAAUUGGAGCUGCAGCUGCCAGUCUACACUACAGACAUAGCAAUACCAGAUCCAAGCUUCAUCUGUAACCUUUACCAUAGCUCAUACAUCACCGGAUCCUUAACCCACUGAGCAAGGCCAGAACUACUGUAACCAACUGAGCCACAAUAGGAACUCUCUGGCAAAUAGUUCUUUUAAAAGUACACACAGGAGUUCCUGUCAUAGCUCAACGGUUAACAAACCUGACUGGCAUCCAUGAGGACGCAGGUUCGAUCCCUGGCCUCGCUCAUGGGCUAAGGACCCAGCGUUGCAGUGAGCUGUGGUGUAAGUCACAGACACAGCUUGGAUCCUGCAUUGCUGUGACUGUGGCUUAGGCCAGUGGCUACAGCUCUGAUUCUACCCCUAUUCCGGGAGACUCUGGAGGCCGCAUUUGCGGCCCUAAACAGCAAAAAAAAAAAAAAAAAAAAAAAAAAAAAAAGGAGAGAACCAGACUGUUGAAAAAUUCAUCUAGGCAGUAGGUCUAUUAGAUGGUAGCCAUUUAAGAGCCCUAAAUAUAUUUAUCCUUUAUAUUCUAUUUUCUCAAAUCUAGUAUGAUUUAUACAGCUUAACACGUCUAUUACAUUUUUUGUGUCUAUCUUUUUAGGGCCACACCUGCAGCAUAUGGAAGUUCCUGGGCUAGGGGUUGAAUUGGAGCCACAGGUACCACCCCACACCAGGGCCACAGUAAUGAAAGACUGGAGCUGGAGUUCCCGUCGUGGCGCAGUGGUUAACAAAUCCGACUAGGAACCAUGAGGUUGCGGGUUCCGUCCCUGCCCUUGCUCAGUGGGUUAAUGAUCCGGCAUUGCCAUGAGCUGUGUUGUAGGUUGCAGACACGGCUCGGAUCUAGCAUUGCUGUGGCUCUGGCGUAGGCCGGUGGCUACAGCUCCGAUUCAACCCUUAGCCUGGGAACCUCCAUAUGCCGCGGAGCGGCCCAAGAAAUAGCAAAAACAAACAAACAAAAAAACAAACAAACAAACAAACAAAAAACUAAAAAAAAAAAAAAAAAAAAAAAAAAAAAAAAGACUGGAGCUGCAUCUUCAACCUAUGCUGCAGCUUGCAGCAACAUUGGAUCCAUAACCCACUAAGCGAGGCCAGGGAUCAAAACCAUAUCCUCACUGAUACUAGUCAGGUUCAGAACCCGCUGAGCCACAACAGGAACUCCUCUAUUACAGCUUUUAAAGAAGGCAUAUAUCAAUUGUAAAACAAUACUUAAAUAUAUAUUUUGAAGUUACUUUAGGAUAGAGAAAAUAUAUUCAAUAACAAACAGCCUAAAAGAAAAAGAAUGCUUAAUGAUUAAGAGCAUGGGCUCUUCAGUCAUACAAACGUAACUGAAUCCUGUUUGAACACUACUAGCUGUGUGGCUCUGGGUAAGGUCCUCAACUUCUCCCUAUUCCAGUUUUUCUAUUUGCAAAAUACAGAUGGAAAAUCAACCUUAUCAUUGAGUACCUAUGUGCUAGACACAUAUGUGCCUAAUAACAGUGUUUCACACAUAGCUGAUAUUUAGUAUCAGCUAAUAUUAGUUGUCAAUAUCACAAAUCUAGAGUCUUAUGAGAGAAAACAAGAGAGUUUAAUUGUGCUAAUAUAGGUUGAACCCAGUUAUGCCACUUCCUAUAAAAACUCACAAUUUCUUUCCAGUGGGGAUAGGGGUAGGAGGAAAGGGCAAGAUGGCAAGAGAAUUGACAUACAAAUGACUACGUAUAAAAUAAGCCACAAGGAUAUAUUGUACAGCACAGGAAUACAACCAAGAUUUUUUAACUACAAAUGGAGAAUAACCUUUAAAAACUGUGACUACGUUGUACAUCUAAAACAUAAAAUACGCAAAGCUAAAUGUAAAAAACCAUUUUCGAUGGGGAAAAAAAAACUUUUAAAUGAAAACAAAAACUUACAAUUUUUUAAAUGAAGCGACCCAGAAUUUUACUCUUCUCUCUACUGUUCUACAAUCAGAAACAUAGCAUCUAAGAUGAAAUUUCUGUUUUAUGGCCCCACGCACAUCAUGUGGAGGUUCCCAGGCUAGGGGUUGAAUUGGAGCUGUAGCUGCUGGCCUACACCACAGGAGCAGCAACACAGAAUCUGAGCCAUCUGCAACCUACCCCAACAGCCCAUGGCAACACUGGAUCCUCAUCCCACUGAGCAAGGCCAGGGAUCAAACCUGCAUCCUCAUAGACGAUAAACAGUCAGGUUCGUAACCCACUGAGCCACAACACGAAUGCCAAGAUUUCAGUUUUUUAAAAUCUCAAGUGGCAUUUGUCUGGAGCAGGAGUCACUGGAUUUAUUAACUUGCCCUUACAGUGAUCUUAGAGUUCAUUCUCACCUUCCCAGAAAAGAGCAAAAUAAAACUUUGGAGAUUUUUUUUCUGGCCACUCAUCUCAGAACCUCAGCCUAGGAAUAAACCCAUUUAUUGGUGCUCCUAACAUUUUACAAAACUCUGAGUUUAAAACUUUUUCAAAACAACUAUCAAGAAAAUCAAAUUCAAAACAAAUUACUAACUCAAGUUUCUGUUGAAUUCAACUGAUCCUCAAAGAUGACUAAACCAAGAGCUGGGGAAAAAAAACCUCCACAUUUCCAGACCACAGAUAUAGGAAGUGGAGUUAACACAGGACUGUCACCUUUCUCCAGUCUUCCCUCACAACUGUCCUCCUUUAUGAAGACCUGUACCAAUCAUCACUCUCCUUCCUAAGUGCCUUUCUUCAUUGGUUUCUUUGGAUGGCAAGUU
rnacentral:lncRNA from 1 species